GGAUCCAGACUUUGAUUAUGGCUCAGGAUGAACGCUAGCUACAGGCUUAACACAUGCAAGUCGAGGGGAAACGACAUCGAAAGCUUGCUUUUGAUGGGCGUCGACCGGCGCACGGGUGAGUAACGCGUAUCCAACCUGCCCAUCACUUGGGGAUAACCUUGCGAAAGUAAGACUAAUACCCAAUGACAUCCAUAGAAGACAUCUGAAAUGGAUUAAAGAUUUAUCGGUGAUGGAUGGGGAUGCGUCUGAUUAGCUUGUUGGCGGGGUAACGGCCCACCAAGGCGACGAUCAGUAGGGGUUCUGAGAGGAAGGUCCCCCACAUUGGAACUGAGACACGGUUCAAACUCCUACGGGAGGCAGCAGUGAGGAAUAUUGGUCAAUGGGCGAGAGCCUGAACCAGCCAAGUAGCGUGCAGGAUGACGGCCCUAUGGGUUGUAAACUGCUUUUAUAAGGGAAUAAAGUGAGUCUCGUGAGACUUUUUGCAUGUACCUUAUGAAUAAGGACCGGCUAAUUCCGUGCCGGCAGCCGCGGUAAUACGGAAGGUCCGGGCGUUAUCCGGAUUUAUUGGGUUUAAAGGGAGCGUAGGCCGGAGAUUAAGCGUGUUGUGAAAUGUAGAGGCUCAACCUCUGCACUGCAGCGCGAACUGGUCUUCUUGAGUACGCACAACGUGGGCGGAAUUCGUGGUGUAGCGGUGAAAUGCUUAGAUAUCACGAAGAACUCCGAUUGCGAAGGCAGCUCACGGGAGCGCAACUGACGCUGAAGCUCGAAAGUGCGGGUAUCGAACAGGAUUAGAUACCCUGGUAGUCCGCACGGUAAACGAUGGAUGCCCGCUGUUGGCCUGAAUAGGUCAGCGGCCAAGCGAAAGCAUUAAGCAUCCCACCUGGGGAGUACGCCGGCAACGGUGCAACUCAAAGGAAUUGACGG
rnacentral:rRNA from 1 species